rnacentral:rRNA from 1 species
AGAGUUUGAUCCUGGCUCAGGAUGAACGCUAGCGGCAGGCUUAACACAUGCAAGUCGAGGGGCAGCAUAAUGGAUAGCAAUAUCUAUGGUGGCGACCGGCGCACGGGUGCGUAACGCGUAUGCAACCUACCUUUAACAGGGGGAUAACACUGAGAAAUUGGUACUAAUACCCCAUAACAUCAUGAAAGGCAUCUUUUAUGGUUGAAAAUUCCGAUGGUUAGAGAUGGGCAUGCGUUGUAUUAGCUAGUUGGUGGGGUAACGGCUCACCAAGGCGACGAUACAUAGGGGGACUGAGAGGUUAACCCCCCACACUGGUACUGAGACACGGACCAGACUCCUACGGGAGGCAGCAGUGAGGAAUAUUGGUCAAUGGACGCAAGUCUGAACCAGCCAUGCCGCGUGCAGGAUGACGGCUCUAUGAGUUGUAAACUGCUUUUGUACGAGGGUAAACGCAGAUACGUGUAUCUGUCUGAAAGUAUCGUACGAAUAAGGAUCGGCUAACUCCGUGCCAGCAGCCGCGGUAAUACGGAGGAUCCAAGCGUUAUCCGGAUUUAUUGGGUUUAAAGGGUGCGUAGGCGGUUUGAUAAGUUAGAGGUGAAAUGUUAGGGCUCAACCCUGAAACUGCCUCUAAUACUGUUGGACUAGAGAGUAGUUGCGGUAGGCGGAAUGUAUGGUGUAGCGGUGAAAUGCUUAGAGAUCAUACAGAACACCGAUUGCGAAGGCAGCUUACCAAACUAUAUCUGACGUUGAGGCACGAAAGCGUGGGGAGCAAACAGGAUUAGAUACCCUGGUAGUCCACGCAGUAAACGAUGAUAACUCGUUGUCGGCGAUACACAGUCGGUGACUAAGCGAAAGCGAUAAGUUAUCCACCUGGGGAGUACGUUCGCAAGAAUGAAACUCAAAGGAAUUGACGGGGGCCCGCACAAGCGGAGGAACAUGUG